AUAUGCUGGAUCUCACACACACUACCGCACCUAUUGUUUGUAUCCCUUUGUGCAGAGUUGCAGCCUGUGUCCCUGGCAGAUUUCUAGCCCACCCGCAAAACAGCCUGUACCGUACUGCACCAGGGAGUCUCAGAAACAACACUUUAUCCUCCGCAGAGCCCUUAAUCGCGAGGCGAUGGCUUAGCACAGGGCACCGUUCCUCUCCACAAGGCCCUUGGGGGCAAGAGGGAUGCCACCGACAUGGGUUUCUUGGGUGAAGAAUUAUCCUAACAUCUUCCUUGCCAACUGUACCACUCAAUUGGAAUUAAUUUAGAGGGACAUCAUUUAAUGCCUUUGUAAUUGAGGAUAUAAGAGGCAAAGACUGAAGGCUUUUGAAUGUAGGUGGUAGCAAGGCAGGUUCAAGAAGAGAGAGGCAGUGUGCUGCAACACGUUUACUUUCAAAGCAAAUGGAAGGAAUGGCUUGUCUCUUCUCUAAAUACUGUAACAAACAGAAUUUGUCACUGCUACAGCUGAAGGUAAGAUCAUUUUGAAAAAAAACUGGACUAGAACGUACAAAAUUCUAACCAAACUGCCUAGUAAAGUCUUUUUGGAUGUUGUCACGCAUUACUCACACACUCCUGCCAAAAGAACUGUUAGAACAAAAUAAGCAUGCUUUUAUUUCUACCACCAAUUGUAUUAGCAUUACUGUCAACUUAAAACAUUUACCUGUGUUAUUAAUACCAUCUUAGAUUAUUAGAAGUUUUUUG